rnacentral:tRNA from 1 species
CCCUGUGUGGCUCAGUUGGUAGAGCAUGGUGUUUGCAACGCCAGGGUUGUGGGUUUGAUUCCCACGGGGGGGC